rnacentral:misc_RNA from 1 species
AACUUCCUUCUAUUCGUGGUGUUGACCGUUCUCUGUGUGAGGUCCGCUCACACCUGUAUGUGUGAUUUCACCCACCCCCAGAACAAUUUCUGCUCAGCUGAUUUCGUUAUCAAAGCAACAAUAGUGAAAGAAGAACUAAAGUUUGGGGACGAGUCAAUGGAUAUUCCAUUCCCACUGCAGAAAAACUACACAGUGCAAUUCAAGAAGAGAGACAUAUUCAAGGUAUAUAUUAGUAGUCACAUAAUGCGUCUUCUCGCUUUAAGUAAACUUUCUUUUUCUUGUACAGUUUGCAAUUGUCUUUUUCUUACUGGCCUCGAUUUCCCUUGAAGUCUGAUCGAAAAAUAAAUGGAAUUUAUGAUAAAGGAAUUUUAGAAAAUUUAAGCUGAUUUUUCACUAGUCAUUAUGCGGCGUUGUACUGUAUAGCAUUUUAUUGUUUAUUGUUUGAAAUCAGAUUGAAAUUAUUUAAAUUGAUUUGUAACAAUUAAGAGAGACAGAUGGUUCUUGGCAUUUUUAGACCAUAUAUAUCUUCUCCAGAUAAAGAGCUCUGUAUGAGUAAUAGAAAGAUUUCAAAUUUUAAAUCUAAAAUAUUUGAUUUAUUUUUCUUUAUCAAAUAAUAGUUUAUGGUCAAAAAUAUGAUUUGUACAAAAUUUAAAGCAAGUCUGGUGGUUAGGUUGUUGACCAAUCAGCCUCUAAGUAUGAAUUGUAUGUAAAUGUUUGAGUUCACUGCGUACAGGGGUCAUCUCUGCUGGGUUCUAGCGACACUCUGGUCAUCAAGACUUCCGGUACUCCGUGGAACUGUGGGGAAACAUUCACUCUCAACAAAGAAUAUGUCAUUUCAGGUAUUGGAAAUUAAGUUAGAACAUUUUCGCCGCGAACCCGAUCAUAAUGUUUCUUGUACUGCAAACAGGGAAAUAUUUGUCCCUGUAUUAAUUUCGCCCUUUUCGCCCUCCGUGUCAUUAGGCCUAGGCGAAUUUUAAACUGGACAAAAUCAAAACAAUGUUUAUCUACUUUGUUCAUUAAAAAGAGUUUAUACAAAUAUUUUCCAAUUGUCUGUGCUAAUUCAAGACAGGGCGAAACCGUUUGCAAGUGUAGAAGGGUGAAGAAACUCCAAGGCGAAAUAGCCUUGUAUAUACUUAAACAACGAAAUCAUUGUAAUGAAAUAUUUCUUUAUUUUUCAACUUAGUUUUUUCCUACGUACGUGAUGUUAUCAUCUACAUUUUGAUUGACUGGUUAAUAAUAAGGUGAUGUUUUUGUUGAUUAGGUUUUGUCAGUGACGGCGAGUUCUUUACCAAUAAUUGUCAGUGGAACCCCGAGUACCUGACCCUAGAGCCCCACCAGAGGCGGGGGAUCCGGUACAUGUACGAACAGGGCUGUAACUGCACGGUAAGUCUUGCACGAAUCUAGAAGGGGUCGGGGGUCUGUAACCCCCACUCACCAACUCACCCUUUAGAAAAGCAUUAUAUUCACGUACACAUUGUAAAUUUAUCAAAAAAAUACAUCGGACCUCCCAGCAAACUCAGUAAUCUCUCGGACCCCCCUCCCUUGGAAUUUUUUUUUUAUUAAUUGCGCAUGUAAGACACAUUUCAACAUGCGCUCCUACUUUUGGUGUUUUGAUGACUUUGUUAUUUGUAAAACACUGACUGUUUCCUCUUUUGUUUUCCAGAUUCACCAUUGCCGUGGUGAGAACUGCGACUUCCCCCAGUCAUUGAAUCCGGACCAGACCUGUAUAUGGCCAGGGUCUUACAACACGAACGACUGCUACGCUAAAUACGGGUUCUGUUUACCGGAUAUUUUCGGAGUCUGCUACUGGAAACAAAACCGGAUGUUGGGAGGAUGUCUACAGAGGGAAGGAGGGGUUCUACCGUGAACCAAACCAGCUGGCAAAGAUCGUCACAUAGACUUGUUUUGAAAAACGUCAUGUUUUCACUUUAAGUAGCAUGUAUAAUCAUCAAGUUGUUUGUUGUCAAUUUAUAUUUGUAUAUACAAAGAUAUUUGUUUGAACAUAUUUAUAUAAUCAUGAUGAUAUAAAUCAGUUCAAACGCAAGUUCUAACAACUUAAUUACUAGUUUUUACAAGUUCUGUUCAAAUAUAUUUGUUCUCUAGUGGUUUGAUCCCUCAUCAAUUCAAAAAGAUGUUGAAUGUUUUUCAGUUUAUACGUUAGUGCUGUGUUUCUGACACGUUUCUUUUUUUUCUUUUUUAAAUUUCGAGGAGAACGGUAGCUCUCCUGUGAUGAAUACUGUUUAGAAUAAGAACGCGUAGAAUGAUUUGUGUAUAUAUGUAAUGCAUCAUUUUUGUAAAAUAAAUAUUAUAAAUAUG